UCCCUUUUAUGCCACUAAUAACAUUUUCAAGUUUAAUUUUACUUCCUGAAAAUAAGGGUAUCUUUCUUAUAUCUAGCCAAUUUCCCCACCUACCUAUAUCCAAAUUACAGGAAGAUGAAGCUGUCUUCAAGGUAUGCCUUUCAAGCUGUGGGUUCCCAAUUUCUUCUGAUAACCACGGAGCUGUGGGUUCCUGCAGCACUGCCCACCCUCACCACAUUCUUCACAUUCAUCUUGCCCCAGGUGGAGUGGAGGAAAUGCUAGCAUGUUCAACAGCCACAGUGAGGGUCCCAUGGCUGAUGAAAAGGGGAACAUGUGAUAAAAGGCCCGGAAUGGCCUCCUGGGAGGGGCCAUCAUUGCACAGCGUACUGUCAGCCCUGGAGUCAGCAGCCAACAGCAUAUUUUCCUGUGGUAUUUUCUCUACUUUCCUGGCUUGGGAUGGUGUUUGAAGGGACCACUUGGAGGAACUAUUUCGAAAAUAGGCACAGUUGGUGCCUCAUGCUGGAGAGACUUGCACAUUUACUUAACUUUGUGCUUGUCCAUCUCCCACUGCUCCCCAAAGAAGGUGUGAACCACUUUUAUCCUGUAAACCAGAAACAGGAACUGAAUGGCCCUCUAAUCAGACGUCUGAAACAGGAAGCAGGUCACAGUUCUUAUAGCCACCAGAGGGGAACUGCCCUGUAAACAGAGAACUCCCAGAAGGCUGGCUCCAGCUAAGGCCACUGGUGAGACAAGCCUGUGUCCUGCGCUUAUAUAACACAUAGGCUUCACCUAGAGAUGGAGCCAGCGUGAACUACCAACUGAUAAAUGUCUCAAGUAGACAAAAGGUGACCAACUUAAGGAAGGAAACGGGAUCCCAGCAGCCUAAGAAGCAGGGCCAGUCAUGACAACAUGCAGUUGAUUAUGUGGGGUAAGAAAUCGGUCCUCUAAAAACUAAUCUAUUUGUGCUCUGGAGUUUUCUUUUUGAUUUUGCUUUUUUCCAUCCAAUUUUCUAUUUAAGCUCUUUUUUAAAAAUUAUAGUUUUGCCUUAAUUGACCCAUUAUCCAAGAAAGCAAGAAGCAGCACAGCGCUGUCAGUUCGUGUGGGGUGGGUGGCAGCUGCCGCAAUGGUGUGCCAGGGAACGUGAAAAGCUCAGAGAAAAACCAUGUGUUGGACCCCACUAGGAUGUUUUAAAAUCCCUUCCUAACCGGAGUUUUCCCUUAUGAGCUUAUGUACCUUUGUUCUUUUGAUAAUUUUACUAAGGCUCAUUUUGCACAUGACGCAGUGGCUGAAAGGUGGGAAGGGGCUGCAGGGCGGUUCCAAUCAGAGGCUCUCAAACACAACUCUGUUGACUGGUGUGAUAAAGUUUUCACUCGUCCAUGGAGAAAUGGGAAAAAUAAAUAAUGUCAUGAGUUUUUCCGUCCAUUUCCAUAUGCAAAGAUCUGUCCUUUAUUCUAAGGUUACAUCCCCUCCUAAUUUUUUUUAACAUAAAACUUCUUUUUAGGAAAUCAUGGCAAUAGGUAGCUGAUUGUUGAUUUUCCUCUCUCUCUCUCUCUGUCUCUCGAUUUUCCUCACUCUCUCUCUCUACUUAUAAUACCCUUACUUGGAAAAAUUUAAAUGUUGGCAAACACAUGUCAUCCUCCAAUUUUUUUUAACUGGUUCAUGGGAAAUAUUAUUUAGGAAAUACAGACUUUAUCCUUUCCUUCAAAAUAUAUGAGAUGAUAUACUUGGAAAGUAUAUUGAAAGUAGAAAUGCAGAAAUGGGCUGGAAAAUUUUCAAGAACUUCUCCAUCUGGGAUAGAUGGGAUACAAGGUUAUGUUCUGUUUUGUUUUAUUAUUGUUUUACCAAAUAAGAGUAGAAGUCCUAAGAAGCUUUCUUGGACACAAGUUAGAGCCAAAGCCCAGCAAGUUCAGAUGCCUCUCCAGCAAGAUGGCAUAUUAACACAUAGGCGACUUUCGUCAUAAGCUCAGGUGAAGUGGGAAUAUACUACAGAUGAAAAUAGAAAAGCUAAGUUCUUAUAAUUUCGACUAGCAUGUGCUUCCUUCCUGUUACUUACGAUUGCUACAGGGUGAAAGGCUGAGUAAGAGAUUGCAAUCUGCAGUGAGCCAAGCUAAAAGGCCCGGGCGGAUGUGAAGGCUGGUGGCAAGGAAAUGGGAAGCCGGCAGCCCAUCUACCCUGUGUCCACUGAGGGAGUGAGGUGGCCUUGAGCACAGCAGCAUUCCUGGGUCUUACCUCGGCAGGAAGUUGAAGGGGAAGAAGCCUGAAGGAGGUGAAAGUGUUCUUAAAUCUCCUGCAGGCACUGCCUCCUCCUUCACACAGCAUCCCUCAUCUCCCUAUAGCCACCUGGUCUUCCCUUUGUCCCCUAUCUCACCACAGUGCCACCAACGCCACCACUCCAAGUUGAUGCUUCUCCUAUAUCUGGCCAAGAUGCUACCCAAUGCUGGAUGAAAGCAAGUCCCUGGUUUAAUAUAGGAAAAGUUUUAGGUUUCAGAAACAGAAUUUUUCCAAAUGUUUAAAAUGGUGAAUGGUUCCAUGCACUGUGUUAACCAGGCUUCUUAUAGACUAGUCCCAGAAUCUGACCACCAUGUGCAAUACUGUUUCUAAGAAAAGUGUGCUCCAAGCAAGAGCCUUCAAAUAUUUAACCUGAGUGAAUGAAUAUAACCUC